UACGUAGGGGGCAAGCGUUGUCCGGAUUUACUGGGCGUAAAGCGCCUGUAGGCGGCUUGUCAAGUCCGGCCUGAAAGCCCCCGGCUCAACCGGGGAGGGUGGCUGGAAACUGGCAGGCUUGAGGGCGAGAGAGGAGGGUGGAAUUCCUGGUGUAGCGGUGAAAUGCGUAGAGAUCAGGAGGAACACCCGUGGCGAAGGCGGCCCUCUGGCUCGACCCUGACGCUGAGAGGCGAAAGCGUGGGGAGCGAACGGGAUUAGAUACCCCGGUAGUCCACGCUGUAAACGCUGGUCACUAGGUGUGUGCGGUAUCGACCCCGCACGUGCCGGCGCUAACGCACUAAGUGACCCGCCUGGGGAGUACGGCCGCAAGGUUGAA
rnacentral:rRNA from 1 species